rnacentral:sRNA from 1 species
ACAGUAUUAGGCGAUCUCGUUUGUUCACUUCGUUCGGUUAAUCAUCCUCAAUGCGGAUGACGAGGGGUAUCUCGAUCCUGGCAUGGUUUCUUUAUUUGCUAUGAAAAACUUCGCCUAUGAUUUGUGGCUACUCCAGCCUCUGUCACGGACAUUCAGUCCAGGGACAUGAACUUUGGCCAGCAUUCGCUUCCGUUUACCAGGAUUAGCGGAGAUUUCCCCUGUCGGAACCAAUUUGGGACUCAACUCUUCCUGCAGCAAGUCCUCAGCCUCAUACUUGCUCUUCGGCAAUAAAUUAUUGCCAGGCCACUCGUAUGCUGGUCUUUUUUCUCUUCAUUUCAGAGAGACAAUAGGAGUAUGUUUUCCGAUUCUCGGGGAUCAAAUGGUUGAGACUCUUACAUCCUUUCUGCAAAGUUCCUUGGAUAUCGUGAUUUCUACAUCUGGGAGACGAUGCCUGUCAUAUGCAACAACCCCUAUUCUCUAACAUGCUACUAUAUUUCUCUGCACCAUGUAUUGCGUAUAUACCCACAAACAAGGGGUUAAUUGACUUCACAAACCAAGCGCACCUGGAGGUUUGCUUUGUUCAAGGGUUUUGAAAUCCCAGUAUUUAGCGGGAAUUGCUCAUUC